rnacentral:rRNA from 1 species
GAUCCUGGCUCAGGACGAACGCUGGCGGCGUGCCUAACACAUGCAAGUCGAACGGGGUUACACGAGGUGCUUGCACCAUGUGUAGCCUAGUGGCGGACGGGUGAGUAACGCGUGAGCAACCUGCCUUUCAGAGGGGGAUAACAACGGGAAACCGUUGCUAAUACCGCAUAAUACCGGAUGAUGGCAUCAUUGACCGGUCAAAGGAGCAAUCCGCUGAAAGAUGGGCUCGCGUCCCAUUAGG